GACGAACGCUGGCGGCGUGCUUAACACAUGCAAGUCGAACGGAAAGGCCCUGCUUGCAGGGUGCUCGAGUGUCGAACGGGUGAGUAACACGUGGGUGAUCUGUCCCUUACUUUGGGAUAAGCCUUGGUAACUGGGUCUAAUACUGGAUAUGACCAUGCCGUAGGUGGUGUGGUGGAAAGAUUAGUUUCGGUAUGGGAUGAGCUCGCGGCCUAUCAGCUUGUUGGUGGGGUGAUGGCCUCUCAAGGCGUCGACGGGUAGCCGGCCUGAGAGGGUGGACGGCAGCAUUGGGGCUAAGAUACGGCCCAGACUCCUGCUGGAGGCGGCAGUGGGGAGGAUUGCACAAUAGUCGCAAGCCUGAUGAAGCAACGCCGCGGGGUGGGUGACGACCUUCGUGUUGUAGACAACCUCCAGCCAUGACGAAGCCCUUGUGGUGACGGUAGUGGGAAAAGAAGCACCGGCUAACUACGUG
rnacentral:rRNA from 1 species